rnacentral:tRNA from 1 species
UGGAGGAGUGACCGAGUGGCUUAAGGUGGCGGUCUUGAAAACCGCUGAGGCGCAAGCCUCCGGGGGUUCGAAUCCCUCCUCCUCCGU